rnacentral:rRNA from 1 species
CAGUAGCCGCGGUAACACGUAGGUGGCAAGCGUUGUCCGGAAUCAUUGGGCGUAAAGGGCUCGCAGGCGGUUUCUUAAGUCUGAUGUGAAAGCCCCCGGCUCAACCGGGGAGGGUCAUUGGAAACUGGGAAACUUGAGUGCAGAAGAGGAGAGUGGAAUUCCACGUGUAGCGGUGAAAUGCGUAGAGAUGUGGAGGAACACCAGUGGCGAAGGCGACUCUCUGGUCUGUAACUGACGCUGAGGAGCGAAAGCGUGGGGAGCGAACAGGAUUAGAUACCCCGGUAGUCCCUGUCUCUUAUAC